UACGAAGGGGACUAGCGUUGUUCGGAAUUACUGGGCGUAAAGCGCACGUAGGCGGAUUUGUAAGUCAGGGGUGAAAUCCCGGGGCUCAACCUCGGAACUGCCUUUGAUACUGCAAAUCUCGAGUCCGAUAGAGGUGGGUGGAAUUCCUAGUGUAGAGGUGAAAUUCGUAGAUAUUAGGAGGAACACCGGUGGCGAAGGCGGCUUCCUGGACCGACACUGACGCUGAGGCGCGAAAGCCAGGGGAGCAAACGGG
rnacentral:rRNA from 1 species